GACGAACGCUGGCGGCGUGCCUAAUACAUGCAAGUAGAACGCAGUUGCGAACGGGUGCGUAAUGCGUAGGUAACUGCCUGGUAGCGGGGGAUAACUAUUGGAAACGAUAGCUAAUACCGCAUACUCCCAGAUGUACCUGCGUUGUUUUAGCUAGUUGGUGGGGUAACGGCUCACAAAGGCAACGAUACAUAGCCGACCUGAGAGGGUGAUCGGCCAAACUGGGAAUGAGACAGGGACCAGACUCCUACGUGAGGCAGCAGUAGGGAAGCUUCGGCAAUGGACGGAAGUCUGACCGAGCAACGCCGCGUGAGUGAAGAAGGUUUUCGGAUCGUAAAGCUCUGUUGUAAGAGAAGCGGUAUCUUACCAGAAAGGGACGGCUAACUACGUGCCAGCAGCCGCGGUAAUU
rnacentral:rRNA from 1 species